GUCUGGCCAUUGCCCCAGAGGAUGAGGUUGAGCACAGAGAUCCCCAUGGUGCAGGCCUGUGGUCACCCAGCCUGCGGUCACCCCAGGGUGUACUACUGCACUCCAGCCACCCAGGCAGCUCCUCCCAAACUGAAGGACAAGAGAAACCAGGGAAACUACUCCAGCAGUUUUUGCUGCGGAGAGGUGAGGGAUCUGCAGACACACAA